CCGGCCUGUGAGGGCGCGGGACGCCGCGCGCCCGCUUGGCCGCGCCGUCCGGGUGGGGGCGUGCACGGCCCCGGUCCCCCGGCCGGCCCGCCUGGGACUGGGGCGCGGCCCGGUGGCUCCCCGCCCGCUGCUCGCUCCUCGCGCAGCCCCUCCGUACGACCCCGGGCGUGAGGCGGCCGAGCUGAGGCGCCGGGAGAAAUGCUGUGAGCUCCCACCCCAAGUGAUGAAUUCAUCUUAGUUUUGGAACAGGCCUUCCUUAUGGUUCGUACUUAAAGACUAAGGACGUUUAAAGAGGGAAAUUGCAAAGCUCAUCUACAGCCAGAUCACAGCAUAUUUUUUUUUAGGAAUCAAGGAUCAACAUUGGGCUAUUUCCUAAGAUUAAACCAUGAAAGCCCACUUGGAGGCUGCAUGGCCAUCUGCGCACUUGAACCUGAAAAAUGGACUUUUUCAAUCGGGGAGAUCUCCUUCAGCUAAAUCAUCAGAAGUGGUGAGAAGAAAAGACCCCUGCCCGACCAACCUCCUCCAGACAAAUUAAAUCAGUCUAGCAAGGAAUGGAGCUGUACAAGGGUGGCCAGAACACCAUCUUCUGCUUGCACCAUCACUGAGCCGUCCCUCUAGGACUGCCGCCUGCAUGCCGGUUGCACUCAGUGCAAGGCAGCCGGCUGUGUCAGGGAAUGGGAGCUGAAGUCCUGCUCCACUCACCAAGCCGAGUUUAUUGGUGCAUGGCCGUGUCUGCCCAGAUGAUGUGCCUCCUUUUUCUAAUUUGCACCAAUGCCCCCUGUAUGGGCUAGUGGCAUGUCUGACCACCCCACUCCCAUAUCCCAGUGCUACCCGGGAUUCUAUUUCUUACGUGGGAUGGAUUCAAGAUUUUCAUGAACAAGUUAGGUUUCUUGCAAAAGAUGAAAUAUUUGACCCAAAUUGAAAUUAAUUUCAUAGGUAAAGCUCAAAAUAUUACCAUAGAUGUGAAUUACAUAUGUAUUUAUAUACGCGUAUAUAAACAGUCAUGUAGAUAUACAUGUCUGUGUAUCAGAAGCUAGCAAAACUUAA